rnacentral:rRNA from 1 species
UUUUUACUAUUAAAUUUUUCUAAUAAAAUUUUAAUAUUAAAUUUAACUUGUAAAAUAAAAAUUCAUUAUAAUUUAUUUCAUUCUUUUAUAAAAACUGCACCUAGACCUAAAAAAUUUCUUUAUAAAAGAAUUUUAAAAAUAUUUCUUAAUAUUUUUUAUAAAAAGAGGUAUACAAAUUGUUCUAUUAAUACAAAUAAAAGUAAGAUUAUGGUGUCAUAUCCUUUAAAGAAUAAAUUCCUCAAACUAGUUAAAAGAUGCCGCCAAAAAUUUUUAGUUUCAUGUUUAACACUUACUACUAAAAAUUUUUUUAUAAAAAUAGUGGGGUAUCUAAUCCCAGUUUA